GUUUAGCCUGUCUGUAAGGUUUUGAGGAGUUGUUGAUUUGUAUUCACUGUUAUUUGUCAGUGUUCGACUUGUUUUCAGCUGUCUGUCCCUCGUAAACAAGCCUCAACUGCCCCAGUGCUCAUUAUCUACUUUCAAUGAAGCUCAAAAUAUCAGCUACACACAUGGAGCAGAUGAGCAAAGACUGAGCUAACAGCUUCCAGCCUUCCAGCUUCUCUCGCCAGACCUCAUAGUCCAACAGAUCAAAAAGUUUUCAAGGGAAAGAAAGGGGAAAAUUGAUGUUUAAUGCUAUGGCAAAGCAGCAAGCCCUGUAUAAUGAUAGCAACAAGAAAAAAGAACAUCAUGCUUGAAACAAGACCUGAACCCAGAACAGCCAGUCCUCAAUGCAUUGCAAAAUGGUGUUAACACUAUUUUGCUACCAGACUGCCAUUAAGAUUACAGAAAGGGCAAAUUGUAAAAUUUUUUAUUCUGAAUUCUAAGAAAUAAUGACAGAUGAAUCUCAAUGUAAACUUGUUUAAUGAAAUGUUUGCUUCACCAAGCACUUCUUCCAUACCACAGCCUUCUAUUAUUACUAGAGUUUUCUCAGAAUGUGCAAAACAUUCAAAAUAUUCAUAUACACACAGUGUCUCCCAUCAUGGACAAAGGGUUUAAACCACAAAGGAGAGCUCAAGCUGUGCAUGGUGGCAGUACUAUAGCUAAUGAAGUUUAAUACCGGCAUGGUUUGCUUCCUACUUGUUAUCAAAGGUCAGUUUAACAUGUACAAAGAUAAAGCAUUAGCAAUUAAUUUCAUUGUAUUAAUGAUUAAGAUCACAAAAUGUACAUUUCAAUAAAAAUGGACAAUAAAAACCCCAAUAGUUUGGUUUUUUUGGGGUGUGUGUCUGAAAACCCCCAGCAUUUUAACCAGGGAUGGAUCUGCAUUUUUGGUGGGGAAACUAAUAAAAAUAAGCUUGAUUGUCCACUAAAUGUGUCUAAUAUUCAACUAUGGACACUAUAUGGCAACAUUCAUUUUAUUUAUUUCUAGACAAUUCUGUUCUGAAUUUUUUUUUUAAAGGGGGUAAGGUGAUUUUUCUUUAGCAUUUCUUUUUCAAGAUUCUGAUCCCAAUCUCCUGGGCUGGUUUAUACAUGAGGUUUUAAGUCAACUUAAAGUGAAGCCCAACUUUUCUGGUGUAAAUUCCAAUAAUUACUUGUGAAAAUGAGUCUUAAAAGCAAGUCUGAAUAUUCAGACCAAACUUAGCAACUUUAG